rfam:Leminorella grimontii ATCC 33999 = DSM 5078 strain ATCC 33999 GLGR.assembly.17, whole genome shotgun sequence.
GCUUAUUCUCAGGGCGGGGUGAAAGUCCCCACCGGCGGUAAACCAUAGAAUGUCGAUUUUAUGGAAGCCCGCGAGCGCUUUGGUUUGGUAUAGCCUGGCUCAUUCAAACCAAAGGUCAGCAGACUCGGUGUAAUUCCGGGGCCGACGGUUAUAGUCCGGAUGGGAGAGAGUAACG